rnacentral:misc_RNA from 1 species
AACAAGGCGUACCUGCGGACCUGCGGAGGGAUCAUUACAAGUGACCCCGGCCUAACCACCGGGAUGUUCAUAACCCUUUGUUGUCCGACUCUGUUGCCUCCGGGGCGACCCUGCCUUCGGGCGGGGGCUCCGGGUGGACACUUCAAACUCUUGCGUAACUUUGCAGUCUGAGUAAACUUAAUUAAUAAAUUAAAACUUUUAACAAUGGAUCU